ACCAGUAUUCUGGUAGGUCUGACGGGUGGCCCGUAGCAACAUCGACAGCCCCAGGUCCCGCCCUGGCCUUAUAUUUCAUGAAACGGUGUGUAUUGGUCCCUGCACACAGAAGAAAAAAAAAAAGGCGUUCAUGUUGAAAUGAGGAGGAGACGAACCAAUGGCGGUCGAGGUGGAAGAAGAUGAGGAAGGAAGAAGAUGGUCUGGAGCCAAAGUCCGGCACCAUGAGAGUAAAACUUGGAACGACAGCGUUUUGGAGUCAUAGUGAUGGUGCCUUCCGGGUGUUGUCAGUUGGAGGGAAAGGGAGAGAGAGAGCUGGAACGAUGGAGCUCAGUGUUGCCAAAUCGUUCUCCAAAGUGGAUUAGUGUUUUCUGCCACGUGUCACAGUGCAUUUCUGUCUUCCGACCCGACCCGACCCUGCCAACAUUCAAGGUCAC